AUACGGAGGGUGCAAGCGUUACUCGGAAUCACUGGGCGUAAAGCGCGCGCAGGCGGGCUGAUAAGUUGGAUGUGAAAGCCUACGGCUCAACCGUAGAACUGCAUCCAAAACUGUCAGUCUAGAGUCUGGGAGGGGAAGAUGGAAUUAGUUGUGUAGGGGUAAAAUCCGUAGAGAUAACUAGGAAUACCAAAAGCGAAGGCGAUCUUCUGGAACAGUACUGACGCUGAGGCGCGAAAGCGUGGGGAGCGAACAGGAUUAGAAACCCUAGUAGUCC
rnacentral:rRNA from 1 species